rnacentral:rRNA from 1 species
UAAGCAUAUCAAUAAGCGGAGGAAAAGAAACCAACAGGGAUUGCCCUAGUAACGGCGAGUGAAGCGGCAACAGCUCAAAUUUGAAAUCUGGCGUCUUUGGCGUCCGAGUUGUAAUUUGCAGAGGGCGCUUUGGCAUUGGCAGCGGUCCAAGUUCCUUGGAACAGGACGUCACAGAGGGUGAGAAUCCCGUACGUGGUCGCUAGCCUUUACCGUGUAAAGCCCCUUCGACGAGUCGAGUUGUUUGGGAAUGCAGCUCUAAAUGGGAGGUAAAUUUCUUCUAAAGCUAAAUACUGGCCAGAGACCGAUAGCGCACAAGUAGAGUGAUCGAAAGAUGAAAAGCACUUUGGAAAGAGAGUUAAAAAGCACGUGAAAUUGUUGAAAGGGAAGCGCUUGCAGCCAGACUUGCCUGUAGUUGCUCAUCCGGGUUUCUACCCGGUGCACUCUUCUAUAGGCAGGCCAGCAUCAGUUUGGGCGGUUGGAUAAAGGUCUCUGUCAUGUACCUCCUUUCGGGGAGAACUUAUAGGGGAGACGACAUGCAACCAGCCUGGACUGAGGUCCGCGCAUCUGCUAGGAUGCUGGCGUAAUGGCUGUAAGCGGCCCGUCUUGAAACAC